AAAGUUACUUUUACAAGGUUAAUGCCAUUUCAGAUCCUCCUAUACCAGCUGCAACUGGCAAGCUGGAGAAGCUUCAGACGGUAGAUCACUCUAACCAUACAUUUUGUGGAGAAGCACCCUCUCCUUUGGGGCAUCUCAAGAACCUGAAUACCUACCGGGAGAGACUGGCACUUUUAGAGAACAUGUAGAAUCAGUUGCGAGGCUCAAGAACUGAAUCCGAAUUUUAAUCCCAACAGCUAUCUUUCAAUUUCCACUCAAGGCAAACUUGACAACAAUUGCCUACAUGAUUGGCGUUGGUGAUAAUCUGGCAUAGGAAUUAAAAUCUGCAUGCCUGUAACAUUAGUGGUUAUAUCUGGUGUAUUUGCCGGUACUAUCACUUAAAAUUGCUUCUGUUGGUGACAGAUUCCAGUUUGCAGUCCUGGCAAAUUUCAGGUCGCUCUUGCUUUUAGUUGGCUUAGUCAACUGCUAGUUUAUGAGUGGAAGUGAAUCAUCGUGUUCAAGUGAUUGUACCUAGAUAACCAGCAGCUGCAAAUAAAAGAAAAAAGAUAAUAGAAUGCAGCUUGAAGAGCAAAUGAAGCAGCAAAAGACAGGUUUGGAGGAGACCCAGGAGCGGACUCAUAAGAUCAGUGUCACCCUUUCCUUCAAUAGUGUCGAAGACCUACGAAAGGUUUCCUCUUUAAAUCAUAUUUUUACAUGCUUGAAUAUAUCCCUACUAAAAACUGUUUUGAUUAAUCAUGCUUGGAAGCUGAAACACUAUCUGGCAAUGGUUCUUUGUUAUUUGCACGUCGAAGUAAAUCCAUGGCGAUUUGGAAAUUCUCACUGCUUUCACUACUGAUUUGUUUCCAAGGUUAGGUUUGUGCUUUCUUGUACAUCUGUCACUUCAUAAUACUUAUAGUAUUUGUUAUUUUUUUUCUUUAUAGCUAU